CGCGAUAGAGAAGAGAGAGAGAGAGAGAGAGAGAGAGCAGGAACGGCACAAUAAUCCACGGGAAGGAAGGAUCAAUCAACGGCGCAAGAAAACGUAACGUAACGAAAGGCAAGCGGCCAGCCAGCCAGCCAGCCGUAGCCGGGUCCAUGACGCCACCCUUUCCCCUACGCGCAUUCGUCGCUUCACGCGCUCUCUCUCUCUCUUUCUCUCGUCCCGGCGACUUCACCGAGUCAUCCAUCCAUCCAUCCAUCUAUCCCACCGUACUUUUUACAACAACAACAACAACACCACAUCAUGCGCUUCACGCCUGCUCUCUCCUCCUCCUUCGCCGCUCCUACUUCUCCCUUUCUCUUCUUUCCCUAACCCUAAACCCGAUCCGAUCGAUUUACCUUUUGUUGUUCUGCCUCAGGGCGUCCCUUUCGUUUUGUUGCUGAUUGAUGGGGGAAUUGACGGAAUCAGGCGUCCCCAAAGCGGCGUCGUCCCGGCCCCUGCCGUUCCGGGAGGACUGCUGGAGCGAGGAGGCCACGGCGACGCUUGUCGACGCCUGGGGUCGCCGUUAUGUUGAACUCAACCGCGGGAAUCUCCGCCAGAAGGACUGGCAGGAGGUGGCCGACGCCGUCAACGCCCGCCACGGCCACACCAAGAAGACCCGUCGCACCGACGUGCAGUGCAAGAACCGGAUCGACACUCUCAAGAAGAAGUACAAGGUCGAGAAGACUAGGGUUUCCGAGUCCGACGGGAGUUUCUCCAGUUCUUGGCCUUUCUUCUCCAGCCUUGAUACCCUCAUCGGCCCCACCGUCACUGCCAAGAAGGUCCCGCCUCUGGCGAUUAUGCCCCCGCCGCCUAUGGCGGUUCCGAUUGGUUACCGGAAGCCGCCGGCCGUGGUCGCCCAAUCGGUGGUGCUGCCUCAGAAACGGCCGGCUCCGGCGCCGGCGGUGGACGAUUCGUACUUUAGGAGGAAUUACUCCGCGGUUGCUGCGGCGGCUGCGGCGGAGGAGGAGGUCGAGGAUGAGGAUGGAUCGGAGGAUUUGGGGACGAGCGAGGAGAGUGCAGGGGAAGCCGAGGGGAUGAGGCGGCUGGCCAGGGCGGUCGAGAGGUUGGGAGAGAUUUACGAGAGGGUUGAGGGGGAGAAGCAGAGGCAGAUGAUCGAGUUGGAGAAGCAGAGGAUGCAAUUCGCCAAGGAUUUGGAGGUUCAGAGGAUGCAGCUCUUCAUGGACACCCAGGUUCAGCUUGAGAAGAUCAAGCAAGCAAAGCGGUCGGGUUCGAAUGGUCAUCUUGGUAAUUGAUAAUUCAAGGAAGAUCAACCGCCAAAGGUAACUUGGUGGUUCUACAUGGAAGAGCAGGGAGUGUGUGAACUGUCUACCUUUUUGCUGAAGAUCUUUGACAUUUAUAACUAGCCACAUCAGAGAAGACUGAUGGUUUACUGAUUGGGAUUCGUAUAGCUUCUGGCUAUCAUAUUUAUGCCUUGUAAAGAAAAUGCAGUUCCAGUUGAUUUUGGCAUCGGCAGAUGUUGGAAAGUUGCAGUAAUUGGAAACAAGUUGCUCUAUAUCAGCAAACCAAGAGCGGACAAGGUCGCAAUAUUUAGUGAAUUACAUACAUGCUCUUUAGUUGACUGCCUUUCUUGCUAGCUAGUCUUUUUUUUCUUUUUUCUUUUUUUUUUUGGGAUAAGGAUUUAAUUAGUCAUUGUUAAACUAAGAGGGGCUGUUCUACUUGUAAGUUGAAUUUGGUGAAAGUUGAGAUUGUUGUCGAUGUCUGGCCCCAUGCCCUUAAUGGUUUGAGACACUCAAUUUGAAGAAAGUUAGCAUUUUCUUUA